rnacentral:rRNA from 1 species
GUCGAGAAUCUUUCACAAUGGGGGCAACCCUGAUGGAGCGACGCCGCGUGGAGGAUAAGGUCUUCGGAUUGUAAACUCCUGUCAUGCGUGAACAAGGUUGCUUGGUUAAUACCUGGGCAAAUUGAUGGUAACGCAAGAGGAAGAGACGGCUAACUCUGUGCCAGCAGCCGCGGUAAUACAGAGGUCUCAAGCGUUGUUCGGAAUCACUGGGCGUAAAUGGUGCGUAGGUGGCGUGGUAAGUCAGAUGUGAAAGCCCGGGGCUCAACCUCGGAACUGCAUCCGAUACUGCCAUGCUAGAGUACUGGAGAGGUGACUAGAAUUCUCGGUGUAGCAGUGAAAUGCGUAGAUAUCGAGAGGAAUACCAAAGGCGUAGGCAGGUCACUGGACAGUUACUGACACUGAGGCACGAAGGCCAGGGGAGCGAACGGGAUUAGAUACCCGAGUAGUCC